rnacentral:rRNA from 1 species
GACGAACGCUGGCGGCGUGCUUAACACAUGCAAGUCGAGCGGAAAGGCCCUUCGGGGUACUCGAGCGGCGAACGGGUGAGUAACACGUGAGUAACCUGCCCUUGGCUCUGGGAUAAGCCCGGGAAACUGGGUCUAAUACCGGAUAUGACCACUGGAUGCAUGUUUGGUGGUGGAAAGUUUUUCGGCUGGGGAUGGGCUCGCGGUCUAUCAGCUUGUUGGUGGGGUGAUGGCCUACCAAGGCGACGACGGGUAGCCGGCCUGAGAGGGUGACCGGCCACACUGGGACUGAGACACGGCCCAGACUCCUACGGGAGGCAGCAGUGGGGAAUAUUGCGCAAUGGGCGGAAGCCUGACGCAGCGACGCCGCGUGGGGGAUGAAGGCCUUCGGGUUGUAAACCUCUUUCACCACCGACGAAGCCCUUGUGGUGACGGUAGGUGGGGAAGAAGCGCCGGCUAACUACGUGCCAGCAGCCGCCG